rfam:Phaeomoniella chlamydospora PC4_TCR_scaffold_v01_20, whole genome shotgun sequence.
GAGGCUAUAGCUUAAUUGGUAGAGCCAACUGCUCAUGACGGUUUAGAUAAGUGUUCGAUUCACUUUGGCCUUA